UCCUAAAGCUAAGCAAACCAAAUUCUCUUCCCCUGUAACGGUUGUCUUCCUCCUAGUAGGAAGGAUCAGAGUAGGAAGGAUCGGAGGACCAAUGCGCAGUGUGGUAAGUGUCCGUCUUUUUAAUUUAAGUAAAUGAACACUGAACAAAAACAACAAUGUAAACGAACGAAGAAGUUCUGUCUGGUGCAGAUACAAACACUCAACAGAAAACAAUCACCCACACCACACAGGUGGGAAAAGGCUGCCUAAGUAUGAUUCUCAAACAGAGACAACUAACGACACCUGCCUCUGAUUGAGAACCAUACCAGGCCAAACACAAAAACACCACAUAGAAAAAGGAACAUAGACAACGGAGAAGCCAACCCCCGCACUCACGCACGGACCAUACUAAAACAAAGACAUAACAAAAGAACUAAGGUCAGAACGUGAAUCCCCUUUUAUUCUUAUUCUGUCUUUUCUGUCAGUCACGGUAUUAUUUCUGUCCCCCAUUUUCCCCAGAGCCUUACACUCUGCCAUCUAAUCCUGUUUAUAAUUUAACUAUGCUGGUCUCCACUCAGUAACUGUUAUAUACCCAUUCUGUAUCACUUCUACCUUCUCUCCUCAUGCUACUCCCAAACCAUCAAGGUCUCAGCAGUGCGGGGGAGGGCUUCUCCGUCUGCCCUUCUAUCCUCUCUCCUCCUGCUACUCCCAAAACAUCAAGGUCUCAGCAGUGCGGGGGAGGGCUUCUCCGUCUGCCCUUCUAUCCUCUCUCCUCCUGCUACUCCCAAACCAUCAAGGUCUCAGCAGUGCGGGGGAGGGCUUCUCCGUCUGCCCUUCUAUCCUCUCUCCUCCUGCUACUCCCAAACCAUCAAGGUCUCAGCAGUGCGGGGGAGGGCUUCUCCGUCUGCCCUUCUAUCCUCUCUCCUCCUGCUACUCCCAAACCAUCAAGGUCUCAGCAGUGCGGGGGAGGGCUUCUCCAUCUGCCCUUCCUUCUAUCUGUCUGUCGCUCUUUCUUAUAACAGUCAGUAUCAAAUAUAGGUUCUGUUUCCGAAUAUUGACUAAAUGUCUCACUGUCUCCCUGUCUGCACUAAUGGAUUUUUAGAAAAAUCAACAUGUCUAUGGUAGUAAUCCCUAAGAUUAUUACCUAGUUGAUAAAGUUUAUCUCGAUGCUCUCAAUGAUCCUGAAUCCCCACAGAUGUCAUAUAUCCCUGUCCUGUUGGCUUAGAAUAUGUCCUAAAUACUUAACAUAGAGUCUACCAUUAUUAAAACGUAUUCUUGCUAACUUUAUAACCUUAUUCAACAACAACCUAUAAUAAUACUAUUAUAUCAUUUUCACAGACUUGUUGUGUAAAAUGUAUUACACUGCAUACAACAACAGCUGACUACCUAAGGGAAAAUAAAACUUUGCUCGAUAACUAAACAUUACUUAAGCCAAAAUAGUGGGAGUUUCAAAAUAACCUUAUGACAGUUUUUUAUAAACCCACCUUCGCCCCAUUUUUAACCCAUAAUUCUCCAUGAGAAAAAAUACUACUACUGGUCAAAAGAUAAAACAAAGUUUCAAAUAACAUAAUCAGAUCAAAAUCACUACUCUAAAACCCUCCACAAAGAAAGAUUAUUGUACCCUUAUGGCCAUAGAAA
ensembl:lncRNA